GCUGGCGGCAGGCUUAACACAUGCAAGUCGAGCGGGGGAAGGUAGCUUGCUACUGGACCUAGCGGCGGACGGGUGAGUAAUGCUUAGGAAUCUGCCUAUUAGUGGGGGACAACAUCUCGAAAGGGAUGCUAAUACCGCAUACGUCCUACGGGAGAAAGCAGGGGAUCUUCGGACCUUGCGCUAAUAGAUGAGCCUAAGUCGGAUUAGCUAGUUGGUGGGGUAAAGGCCUACCAAGGCGACGAUCUGUAGCGGGUCUGAGAGGAUGAUCCGCCACACUGGGACUGAGACACGGCCCAGACUCCUACGGGAGGCAGCAGUGGGGAAUAUUGGACAAUGGGGGGAACCCUGAUCCAGCCAUGCCGCGUGUGUGAAGAAGGCCUUAUGGUUGUAAAGCACUUUAAGCGAGGAGGAGGCUACUUUAGUUAAUACCUAGAGAUAGUGGACGUUACUCGCAGAAUAAGCACCGGCUAACUCUGUGCCAGCAGCCGCGGUAAUACAGAGGGUGCGAGCGUUAAUCGGAUUUACUGGGCGUAAAGCGUGCGUAGGCGGCUUAUUAAGUCGGAUGUGAAAUCCCCGAGCUUAACUUGGGAAUUGCAUUCGAUACUGGUGAGCUAGAGUAUGGGAGAGGAUGGUAGAAUUCCAGGUGUAGCGGUGAAAUGCGUAGAGUCUGGAGGAAUACCGAUGGCGAAGGCAGCCAUCUGGCCUAAUACUGACGCUGAGGUACGAAAGCAGGGG
rnacentral:rRNA from 1 species